rnacentral:rRNA from 1 species
CCGAGAGUGGGGGAUAACGAGGCGAAAGCUUUGCUAAUACCGCAUACGAUCUCAGGAUGAAAGCAGGGGACCGCAAGGCCUUGCGCUCACGGAGCGGCCGAUGGCAGAUUAGGUAGUUGGUGGGAUAAAAGCUUACCAAGCCGACGAUCUGUAGCUGGUCUGAGAGGACGACCAGCCACACUGGGACUGAGACACGGCCCAGACUCCUACGGGAGGCAGCAGUGGGGAAUUUUGGACAAUGGGCGCAAGCCUGAUCCAGCCAUGCCGCGUGCAGGAUGAAGGCCUUCGGGUUGUAAACUGCUUUUGUACGGAACGAAAAGACUCUGGUUAAUACCUGGGGUCCAUGACGGUACGGUAAGAAU